GCUAGUCUAGUUUUGUCAUCCCCGUUAUCAACAACUAAGUUUUCAGAUCCGGAGAGUUUUGUUAUCAGAUAUAAAUGGAUAAAUUCAGAUCGAGAAAAGUUCAAAUUCAAACACCUGAAGCUGAUAGAAAUAAUGGAGAAACAGAAACCCUUGAACCUGAAAACCGAUCUAGACCAUCGGAGAAUAAUGUUUCAGAAGAUCAAGAACCUUUUAUGGGUAUGAAAGUUCGUAGAAGGGCUUCUUUACAUAGAGAUUACAGAGGGGAUUAUCUCGAUGUUCCUUCUCAGUAUGCACUCAUGAAGAUCUUGGAUAAGCAAGGUGAUCGGAAAGUUCUCUUUGCAGAUAAGGUUUUGAAGUUCACUGGAUCAGGGAAGAUGAAGCGGCGGGUUCUGUUGAUUACCGAAUCCACUAUCUACAUUGUUAGCCCAGAGACUGGUGCGCUUAAAAGACGAAUAGCACUUAAUGCCGUUGAAAAGCUUUGCUUGAGUGAGCUAAGUGACAAUUUCUUCGCAAUUGUUAUCCCUAGUGAGUUUGAUAUUCUUAUGGCUAGCACUCGAAAGUCAGAGAUUGUCACCGUGUUAGUAGAUGCUAUCAAAAGUUUAUCAGAUUAUGAGCUUGAAGUGGCUUUUUCCAACACGUACAGUUGUUUGGUCUAUUGACUUCAUGAUGUGUUGUGCGCCAUUUAUUAUGUAUUCUGGCUGCUGUUGUACCAAAUGUUAGUUAAGGACCACCAAGAAAUUGAACCCUUGUGUUUCACCGGAGUAGUUGGCGACUUUUGUGUACUAAAGAAACAUAUGUUUGAGUACCAUGCUGCGGCUGAUCUGAUUAAAGAAGUGCUAUUUGAGGAAGUUGAAGGUGGCAUCAAGACAAGGAUAGUGGUGAAGUGAAACACCAGAUUCUCUUGGGGUGGUAACAAUAUGCGGUUAGGUUAUACAUGGGGUUGCCAUUCUAGAAAAAAUUAAUGUAAAGGUAAUCAAUUCUUUAUACGAAGAUAUAGCGAUACACUUGUCUUCAACAAACAAUCCCCCAGAGAAGUGUAUUUCUAGUGUGAUUCUGAUUUCUGUGUGUGUAAUACUAUAGAUUUCUGUGAGCUGAGUAAUUUUGAGGUUGAAAGUUGAAACACUUUUUUAUGUGAAAGAUCCCAGAAGCUGGUUUACUUA